UCACUUUGGCAGCGGAUAUACUAAAAUUGGAAUGAUACAGAGAUUAUCAUGGCCCCUGUGCAAGAUGACACACAAAUUUGUGAUAUGUUCCAUAUUAAA
ensembl:snRNA U6 U6 spliceosomal RNA